AUUUAUUAAUUUUAACUCAUUUAAUAUUAAUUUGCAUGAUGUAAAAUUAACUUACGAGAUUACGGCAUAUAUAAAAAAUAUAUUUUCAACAAUGUUUGGUUUCUAAAUAUUUUUGUGGAUUUCUGUUUUUUUAUUAAUUAUUAGCCUUAGGCGUUUGGGUAUUUAGGUCAGGUAUUUCGGGUUCGGGUUUUCGGGCUUAGAAGUUUAGGACCCGUUCGGGUAAUUUGAGAUAUGUUUGGAUACCUAUUCGGAUUUGGGUUUGGGUUUUUCGGGUUUUGAAGUUUAGACCUUUUCGGGUAUUUGAAAAUUUUGGGUUCGGGUUCGGAUAGGUUUUUUUGGAUCGGUUCUUCGGGUUUGGGUAUUAUACCUAGGCCUAUUAAUUAUAU
rnacentral:sRNA from 1 species